rnacentral:rRNA from 1 species
AUUGAACGCUGGCGGCAUGCUUUACACAUGCAAGUCGGACGAGUGGCGAACGGGUGAGUAACGCAUCGGAACGUACCGAGUAAUGGGGGAUAACUGUCCGAAAGGACAGCUAAUACCGCAUACUAUUCGAGCGGCCGAUGUCUGAUUAGCUGGUUGGCGGGGUACAGGCCCACCAAGGCGACGAUCAGUAGCGGGUGUGAGAGGAUGAUCGGCAAAACUGGGACUGAGAAACGGGCCAGACUCCUACUGGGGGCAGCAGUGGGGAAUUUUGGACAAUGGGCGCAAGCCUGAUCCAGCCAUGCCGCGUGUCUGAAGAAGGCCUGCGGGUUGUAAAGGACGUUUGUCAGGGAAGCGGUACCUGAAGAAUAAGCACCGGAUAACUACGUGCCAGCAGCCGCGUAAUUC